UGGGGAAUAUUGGACAAUGGGGGCAACCCUGAUCCAGCAAUGCCGCGUGUGUGAAGAAGGUCUUCGGAUUGUAAAGCACUUUCGACGGGGACGAUGAUGACGGUACCCGUAGAAGAAGCCCCGGCUAACUUCGUGCCAGCAGCCGCGGUAAUACGAAGGGGGCUAGCGUUGCUCGGAAUGACUGGGCGUAAAGGGCGUGUAGGCGGUUUACACAGUCAGAUGUGAAAUCCCCGGGCUUAACCUGGGAGCUGCAUUUGAUACGUGUAGACUAGAGUGUGAGAGAGGGUUGUGGAAUUCCCAGUGUAGAGGUGAAAUUCGUAGAUAUUGGGAAGAACACCGGUGGCGAAGGCGGCAACCUGGCUCAUGACUGACGCUGAGGCGCGAAAGCGUGGGGAGCAAACAGGUUAGAUACCCUGGUAGUCCACGCUGUAAACGAUGUGUGCUAGAUGUUGGGUAA
rnacentral:rRNA from 1 species